rnacentral:rRNA from 1 species
UCCUACGGGAGGCAGCAGUGAGGAAUAUUGGACAAUGGAUGGAAAUCUGAUCCAGCCAUGCCGCGUGCAGGAAGACGGCCCUAUGGGUUGUAAACUGCUUUUGUAUGGGAGCAAUAAGGGCUACGUGUAGUCCGAUGAGAGUACCAUACGAAUAAGCACCGGCUAACUCCGUGCCAGCAGCCGCGGUAAUACGGAGGGUGCAAGCGUUAUCCGGAUUUAUUGGGUUUAAAGGGUGCGUGGGCGGUUUGAUAAGUCAGCGGUGAAAUAUUUCAGCUUAACUGGAAGGGUGCCGUUGAUACUGUCGAGCUUGAAUUUAGUUGCUGUGGGUGGAAUGUGUGGUGUAGCGGUGAAAUGCAUAGAUAUCACACAGAAUAUCGAUUGCGAAGGCAGCUCACAAAGCUAAUAUUGACGCUGAUGCACGAAAGUGUGGGGAUCAAACAGGAUUAGAUACCCUGGUAGUCCACACUGUAAACGAUGAUAACUCGCUGUCGGCGAUACACCGUCGGUGGCCAAGCGAAAGCGAUAAGUUAUCCACCUGGUGAGUACGACCGCAAGGUUAAACUCAAAGGAAUUGACGG